CAGGGCCACUCUUCCUGCCCAGGUAAGGUGGAAACCAGGGGGCGGCAGAACCUCCCACUCACCCGAGGCCCCUACUGCCACUCACAGGGCCAGGCUUGCCCCAGGCUCUGGGUCAAUACCAGUUCCCUACUCAUCUGGUUUCUUGGCAAGCCUGUCAGCUUCCCUGCCUCGGGUCCCUUCAUUCCACUUCCACAGCCAAAGAUCUGUCGGGUACCCCUGACCAUCUCUCCUCUGCCCAUGGGCAGCAGCAGGCCCUGAAUCUGCCCCUGCUUCUCCCUGCUGUCACCUCUUGGCAUGCCCACCCAAUCUUGUUCUGCCAAUAUGGAACCCCCCGCAGGUCUGCAGUGCACCAAGCUCUCCCGCCUUCCCUCUGCAGGUCCGAGGUGCACCGAGCUCUCCCGCCUUCAGUCUCUGCUCUGCUUGGAGCACUUCCCUCCACCCUUCUCGGGAGUUUGAAUCUAGAUCUGCCUGACCCAGGGCCUCCACUCUUGCUCCUGUGCAGCCCUGCCUCUCAGGUGGAAGCAACUGAGCACCUCUGGGUGUGCUCCGUGGUUUUUCUGGCCUGCAGAGGGCUGGGACUGAGAGGCAACAGGUCCAGGCUGAGCAGCUCACUCUGGAAUCCACAGGCUCGGGAUGGAGUCCAGGCCUCAUCACCUAGUUCCUUGGUGCUGUGGGCAAAUGACCUGUGUCCCCCCCUGCAAAACCUGUGACCUCUUGGUUGAUGUCACAUGCUUCCCCAGGGCCUGGUCCAUGGUAAGG
rnacentral:lncRNA from 1 species